GACGAAGGUGGCAAGCGUUGUUCGGAUUCACUGGGCAUAAAGGGCGCGUAGGCGGUUCCGAAAGUGGCCUGUGAAAUCCCCCGGCUCAACCGGGGAAGUGCAGACCAAACUUCGGUGCUCGAGGCUGGGAGGGGAGACUGGAACUCUCGGUGGAGCGGUGAAAUGCGUAGAUAUCGAGAGGAACACCGGUGGCGAAGGCGAGUCUCUGGUCCAGCUCUGACGCUGAGGCGCGAAAGCGUGGGUAGCAAACAGG
rnacentral:rRNA from 1 species